rnacentral:rRNA from 1 species
CAAUAGCGUAUAUUAAAGUUGUUGCGGUUAAAAAGCUCGUAGUUGGAAUUUCUGCUGAGGACGACCGGUCCGCCCUCCGGGUGAGCAUCUGGUUCGGCCUUGGGCAUCUUCUUGGUGAACGUAUCUGCACUUGACUGUGUGGUGCGGUACCCAGGACUUUUACUUGAGGAAAUUAGAGUGUUUCAAGCAGGCAUGCGCCUUGAAUACAUUAGCAUGGAAUAAUAAGAUAGGACCUCGGUUCUAUUUUGUUGGUUUCCGGAACUUGAGGUAAUGAUUUAAGAGGGGACAGACGGGGGCAUUCGUAUUACGGUGUUAGAGGUGAAAUUCUUGGAUCGCCGUAAGACGAACUACUGCGAAAGCAUUUGCCAAGAAUGUUUUCAUUAAUCAAGAACGAAAGUCAGAGGUUUC